rnacentral:rRNA from 1 species
GGCUUAACACAUGCAAGUCGAGGGGCAGCAUGGUCUUAGCUUGCUAAGGCUGAUGGCGACCGGCGCACGGGUGAGUAACACGUAUCCAACCUGCCGUCUACUCUUGGCCAGCCUUCUGAAAGGAAGAUUAAUCCAGGAUGGCAUCAUGAGUUCACAUGUCCGCAUGAUUAAAGGUAUUUUCCGGUAGACGAUGGGGAUGCGUUCCAUUAGAUAGUAGGCGGGGUAACGGCCCACCUAGUCAACGAUGGAUAGGGGUUCUGAGAGGAAGGUCCCCCACAUUGGAACUGAGACACGGUCCAAACUCCUACGGGAGGCAGCAGUGAGGAAUAUUGGUCAAUGGGCGAUGGCCUGAACCAGCCAAGUAGCGUGAAGGAUGACUGCCCUAUGGGUUGUAAACUUCUUUUAUAAAGGAAUAAAGUCGGGUAUGCAUACCCGUUUGCAUGUACUUUAUGAAUAAGGAUCGGCUAACUCCGUGCCAGCAGCCGCGGUAAUACGGAGGAUCCGAGCGUUAUCCGGAUUUAUUGGGUUUAAAGGGAGCGUAGAUGGAUGUUUAAGUCAGUUGUGAAAGUUUGCGGCUCAACCGUAAAAUUGCAGUUGAUACUGGAUGUCUUGAGUGCAGUUGAGGCAGGCGGAAUUCGUGGUGUAGCGGUGAAAUGCUUAGAUAUCACGAAGAACUCCGAUUGCGAAGGCAGCCUGCUAAGCUGCAACUGACAU